rnacentral:rRNA from 1 species
UAGGGAAUCUUCGGCAAUGGACGAAAGUCUGACCGAGCAACGCCGCGUGAGUGAAGAAGGUUUUCGGAUCGUAAAACUCUGUUGUUAGAGAAGAACAAGGACGUUAGUAACUGAACGUCCCCUGACGGUAUCUAACCAGAAAGCCACGGCUAACUACGUGCCAGCAGCCGCGGUAAUACGUAGGUGGCAAGCGUUGUCCGGAUUUAUUGUGCGUAAAGCGAGCGCAGGCGGUUUCUUAAGUCUGAUGUGAAAGCCCCCGGCUCAACCGGGGAGGGUCAUUGGAAACUGGGAGACUUGAGUGCAGAAGAGGAGAGUGGAAUUCCAUGUGUAGCGGUGAAAUGCGUAGAUAUAUGGAGGAACACCAGUAGCGAAGGCGGCUCUCUGGUCUGUAACUGACGCUGAGGCUCGAAAGCGUGGGGAGCAAACAGG